AGGGCAUACGGUGGAUGCCUAGGCGCCAGGAGCCGAAGAAGGACGCGGUAAGCUGCGAAAAGCCACGGGGAACUGCAAGCGAGUAUUGAUCCGUGGAUAUCCGAAUGGGGAAACCCGGCCAUCGUAAUGGAUGGUCAUCCGCAAGGAAGGGAACCCGGGGAACUGAAACAUCUAAGUACCCGGAGGAAAAGAAAUCAAACGAGAUGCCCACAGUAGCGGCGAGCGAAGAGGGCAGAGCCCAAACCUGUAAGCUACGGCUUAUGGGGGUUGAGGACUGACGUAAUUAAGGCCAGGCUUAGCUGAACUACCUGGGAAGGUAGGCGAUAGAAGGUAAGAGCCCUGUAAGCGAAAAGCAGAGCCUUAAGGUCAGUAUCCAGAGUACCACGGAGCACGAGGAAUUCUGUGGGAAGCAGGGGGGACCACCCUCCAAGGCUAAAGACUAACUGGCGACCGAUAGCGCAUAGUACCGUGAGGGAAAGGUGAAAAGAACCCCGGGAGGGGAGUGAAAUAGUACCUGAAACCGUAUGUCUACAAGCAGUCGGAGCGAAAGCGACGGCGUGCCUAUUGAAGAAUGAACCAACGAGUUAUCUGCACUAGCGAGGUUAAGUGGAAGACACGGAGCCGUAGCGAAAGCGAGUCUGAAAAGGGCGAUGAGUUAGUGUAGGUAGACCCGAAACCGCAGUGAUCUACCCAUGUCCAGGUUGAAGCGCAGGUAAAAAUGCGUGGAGGACCGAACCGGUGAGCGUUGAAAAGCUUUCGGAUGAGAUGUGGGUAGGGGUGAAAUUCCAAUCGAACGCGGAGAUAGCUGGUUCUCCCCGAAAUAGCUUUAGGGCUAGCCUCAGGUAGUAAGUAUAGGCGGUAGAGCACUGAUCGGGCUAGGGGCCAUAAAGGUUACCGAACCCUGUCAAACUCCGAAUGGAUAUACUGCAGAGCCUGGGAGUCAGACUACGAGUGAUAAGAUCCGUGGUCAAAAGGGAAACAGCCCAGACCACCGGCUAAGGUCCCAAAUGCCGUACUAAGUGGAAAAGGAUGUGGGGAUUCAUAAACAACCAGGAUGUUGGCUCAGAAGCAGCCACCAUUUAAAGAGUGCGUAAUAGCUCACUGGUCGAGAGUCCCUGCGCCGAAAAUUUCCGGGGCUAAAGUACGGAACCGAAGCCGUGGCUGUGUACGUAAGUACACGGGGUAGGGGAGCGUUGCCACAGGGGUGAAGCUGGUCUGGAAGGACUGGUGGACUUGUGGGAAGUGAGAAUGUUGGUAUGAGUAGCGAAAAGAAAGGUGAGAAUCCUUUCCACCGAAAGCAUAAGGAUUCCUGAGCAACGAUCGUCGUCUCAGGGUAAGUCGGGACCUAAUCCGAGGCAAGGAGCGUAGGAGAUGGACAACAGGUUGAUAUUCCUGUACCGGCAGCAAUUGUUUGAGCGAAGGAGUGACACAGAAGGGCAGGCAGGCGCGAGACUGGAUUGUCGCGUGCAAGCGUGUAGGGUAGUGUACAGGCAAAUCCGUACACUGAGAGCCUGAGGCGUUACGCGGAGCGAGCAGAGAUGCGAGCGAAGCUGCUGAUCCCACACUGUCGAGAAAAGCUUCUAGUGAGAGAGCUGCCGCCCGUACCGUAAACCGACACAGGUAUGCGGGGAGAGAAUCCUAAGGUGCGCGGGAGAACCCUCGUUAAGGAACUCGGCAAAAUGUACCCGUAACUUCGGGAUAAGGGUAGCCGUCUUGGUGAAGGAGCAUGCCUCUGGAGCUGAAGGCGGUCGCAGAGAAGAGGCCCAAGCGACUGUUUACCACAAACACAGGUGCCUGCUAAAGCGAAAGCUGACGUAUAGGUGCUGACACCUGCCCAGUGCUGGAAGGUUAAGGAAGGAUGUCCGGGCAACCAAAGCAUUCGACCGAAGCCCCAGUGAACGGCGGCCGUAACUAUAACGGUCCUAAGGUAGCGAAAUUCCUUGUCGGGUAAGUUCCGACCCGCACGAAAGGCGUAAUGAUUUGAGCGCUGUCUCGACAAUGCACCCGGUGAAAUUGAAGUACCAGUGAAGAUGCUGGUUACCUGCGCCAGGACGGAAAGACCCCAUGGAGCUUUACU
rnacentral:rRNA from 1 species